rnacentral:misc_RNA from 1 species
AAGUCGUAACAAGGUUUCCGUAGGUGAACCUGCGGAAGGAUCAGUAGAGAUUGCCGGCGCAAGCCGGUCCUACACCACACACACCAGUGAACCGUUGGGGACAGCGAAUUGGCUUCACGCCUUAAUAGCGCCCGUUUACAAACUCUUAGAAACGUAACGAACGUAGUCUUAUUUUAACAAAUAAAACUUUCAACAACGGAUCUCUUGGCUCCCA